rnacentral:misc_RNA from 1 species
AAGAGACGUUGCCCUUCGGGGUAUACCUCCCACCCUUUGUUUAUUAUACCUUUGUUGCUUUGGCGGGCCCGUCCUCGGACCACCGGCUUCUGCUGGUCAGUGCCCGCCAGAGGACCUAAAACUCUAUUUGUUAAUAUUGUCUGAGUACUAUAUAAUAGUUA